UGAGUUGAGUAGAUGAUCGCGUCCUGAUCGUAGUAUUACCAUCGGGAUGAGGAAAGUCCGGACUCCGUAGGGCAGGAUGCUGGGUAACCCCCAGGAGCGGCGACGCUAUGGAAAGUGCAACAGAAAGUAAACUACAACGUCUCAAAACGUUGUACAGGUGAAACGGUGCGGUAAAAGCGCACCAGCCCAUAAGGUGACUUAUGGGGCUAUGUAAACCCCAUCUGGAGCAAGGUAAAUCGGGGACACAUACAGGUUGCCCGCCUCGUCCCCAGGUAACCGCUUGAGGUGGAUGGUAACAUCCAUCCCAGAUGAAUGAUCAUCACAUACAGAAUCCGGCUUAUUCUCAACUCAAAUU
rnacentral:RNase_P_RNA from 1 species